rnacentral:rRNA from 1 species
UGGGGAAUCUUGGACAAUGGGGGCAACCCUGAUCCAGCCAUGCCGCGUGAGUGAUGAAGGCCUUAGGGUUGUAAAGCUCUUUCGCCGGUGAAGAUAAUGACGGUAACCGGUAAAGAAGCCCCGGCUAACUUCGUGCCAGCAGCCGCGGUAAUACGAAGGGGGCUAGCGUUGUUCGGAAUUACUGGGCGUAAAGCGCGCGUAGGCGGACUAUUAAGUCAGGGGUGAAAUCCCGGGGCUCAACCUCGGAAUUGCCUUUGAUACUGGUAGUCUAGAGUCCGUGAGAGGUGAGUGGAACUCCGAGUGUAGAGGUGAAAUUCGUAGAUAUUCGGAAGAACACCAGUGGCGAAGGCGACCACCUGGACGGGUACUGACGCUGAGACGCGAAAGCGUGGGGAGCAAACAGGAUUAGAUACCCGGGUAGUCC